rnacentral:rRNA from 1 species
CAGUAGCCGCGGGAAUACAGAGGGUGCGAGCGUUAAUCGGAUUUACUGGGCGUAAAGCGUGCGUAGGCGGCUUCUUAAGUCGGAUGUGAAAUCCCUGAGCUUAACUUAGGAAUUGCAUUCGAUACUGGGAAGCUAGAGUAUGGGAGAGGAUGGUAGAAUUCCAGGUGUAGCGGUGAAAUGCAUAGAGAUCUGGAGGAAUACCGAUGGCGAAGGCAGCCAUCUGGCCUAAUACUGACGCUGAGGUACGAAAGCAUGGGGAGCAAACAGGAUUAGAUACCCCCGUAGUCCCUGUCUCUUAUAC